CAGUCGCCGCGGUAAUACGAAGGGUGCAAGCGUUACUCGGAAUUACUGGGCGUAAAGCGUGCGUAGGUGGUGGUUUAAGUCCGUUGUGAAAGCCCUGGGCUCAACCUGGGAAUUGCAGUGGAUACUGGGUCACUAGAGUGUGGUAGAGGAUAGUGGAAUUUCCGGUGUAGCAGUGAAACGCGUAGAGAUCGGAAGGAACAUCUGUGGCGAAGGCGACUAUCUGGGCCAACACUGACACUGAGGCACGAAAGCGUGGGGAGCAAACAGGAUUAGAGACCCCGGUAGUCCCUGUCUCUUAUAC
rnacentral:rRNA from 1 species